UUUUAAGUGAUUCCUGAAAAGCCCCAAAACAGUCAAUAAUUUGAAUGUGGUUAAAAUCCUUUUUGCUUUAUACAGUAAGUCUUCCAUUAGCCUUACAAAAUUACUUUAAAACUAUUUUUUCUACUUUACUAAGCAGUUUCUUUUUUUUUUUUCCAUCUCUCUAAUGAUACAUAAUAGAUGUACACAGUUUCAGGGCACAUGUGAUAAUUUAAUACAUUCAUAUAAUUUGUAAAGAUCAAAUCAGUGUACUUGGGAAAGAAGUUGGUUUAGUGUUCCACUGAAGAGAUAUAAAGCAGGGAUUUCGGUGGUGAAUUGGCAAAAUUCAUUUCAUGUGCCACACACUUUAUCUGAGCUAACGAUUUUUUUUAAGUGGAGUAGUGAAACUGUACAUGUCACUGGGAAAAAGAAAACAAUCCUAAGCUUACACUAGAUGGAAAAAUUCUAUCUACAAGCAACAAAAAUAUUUAUCAUCUACCAUUAGGAAGCAUUUACUAGUAUACAUACAGUGUUUCAGUGGAAAGAAUAUCCCUUUGGAACCAUAUCAGAGAAACUAUGCGGUCUUCGGCAGAACACCCUGGUUUAAUAUUAAACCAAGAAAAGGCAAUCAAUACUCUUAACAGCACUUAUACAAUUUUAAAACCAUGUACUGUAAGCUCUAGAACUUAAUGGUUUUC
rnacentral:lncRNA from 1 species